rnacentral:rRNA from 1 species
UAGGGAAUAUUGCAAAAUGGGCGAAAGCCCGAUGCAGCAACGCCGCGUGGGCGAUGAAGGCCUUCGGGUCGUAAAGCCCUUUUUGAGGGGAUGAGGAAGGACAGUACCCUCAGAAUAAGCCUCGGCUAACUACGUGCCAGCAGCCGCGGUAAAACGUAGGAGGCGAGCGUUAUCCGGAUUUACUGGGCGUAAAGCGCGUGCAGGCGGAUUGGAGAGUUGGAGGUGAAAGCUCCCGGCUUAACUGGGAGAGGUCGUUCAAUACUUCCAGUCUUGAGUGCAGUAGAGGGAAGUGGAAUUCCGGGUGUAGUGGUGAAAUGCGUAGAUAUCCGGAGGAACACCAGUGGCGAAAGCGGCUUCCUGGACUGUAACUGACGCUCAGACGCGAAAGCUAGGGUAGCAAACG